rnacentral:rRNA from 1 species
CCUACGGGAGGCAGCAGUAGGGAAUCUUUCACAAUGGGCGAAAGCCUGAUGGAGCAACGCCGCGUGCAGGAUGAAGGCCUUCGGGUUGUAAACUGCUUUUAUAAGCGAGAAAUAUGAUGGUAACUUAUGAAUAAGGAUCGGCUAACUACGUGCCAGCAGCCGCGGUCAUACGUAGGAUCCGAGCAUUAUCCGGAGUGACUGGGUGUAAAGAGUUGCGUAGGUUGCCUAAUAAGUAGCUAGUGAAAUCUGGUGGCUCAACCAUUCAGACUAUUAGCUAAACUGUUAAGCUCGAGACCGUUAGGGGUAACUGGAAUUUCUAGUGUAGGAGUGAAAUCCGUAGAUAUUAGAAGGAACACCAAUAGCGUAGGCAGGUUGCUGGGACGGUUCUGACACUAAGGCACGAAAGCGUAGGGAGCAAACGGGAUUAGAUACCCCAGUAGUC